CCCUUAGAUGUUCUAGGCUGCACGCGCGCUACACUGAUGCGUUCAACGAGUUUAUAACCUUGCCCGAUAGGGUUGGGUAAUCUUUUGAAAACGCAUCGUGAUGGGGAUAGAUUAUUGUAAUUAUUAAUCUUCAACGAGGAAUUCCUAGUAAGCGCGAGUCAUCAGCUCGUGCUGAUUACGUCCCUGCCCUUUGUACACACCGCCCGUCGCUCCUACCAAUUGAGUGAUCCGGUGAAUAAUUCGGACUGCUGCAAUGCUUGGAUCCCGAGAAUUGCGGCGGAAAAGUUUAGUGAACCUUAUCACUUAGAGGAAGGAGAAGUCGUAACA
rnacentral:rRNA from 1 species